CUGCUCUCCAGGGUCACCCUGCUGACGAGCCCGUGAAAGUCGGGCGAAAGAGCCC
rnacentral:hammerhead_ribozyme from 15 species